rnacentral:tRNA from 13 species
UGGUUGCGGGGACAGGAUUUGAACCUGCGACCUUCGGGUUAUGAGCCCGACGAGCUACCGUGCUGCUCCACCCCGCG